rnacentral:lncRNA from 12 species
GUUCAACCCAUGGGGCGUUUUCAGAAGCUGAAGCACAUAGGGUCCCUCUGCUCUGCUCACGCUGCUGGGACCACUCUCACCUGGUGGCAGGCAUGUGGGGUGGGGUGGGGGGGUUGCUCCACAGGAAGCCCUCAACCCCCUCGUCUGCAGAGGCCUGUGCUUGUGUCCAUGGAGACACAUGAAGAAUGAAAGGCUGUGGCAAAGGACGCCUGGGUGGCUCAGUGGUUGAGCGUCUGUCUGCCUUUGGCUCAGGUCGUGCUCCCGGGGUCCUGGGAUCCAGUCCCACAUCCAACUCCCUACAGGGAGCCUGCUUCUCCCUCUGCCUGUAUCUCUGCAUCUCUCUCUCUCUCUCACACACAGAUAAAUAAAUAAAAUCUUUAAAAAAAGAAAAGAAAAGAUAGGCCACGGGAAGGUUUUGUUUCUUUCAAGCAACUUAUGUGUUUCUUUUCAUGUAACUUAUGUGUGUUGUGUUUGCACUGCUGUGCUCAGGCCGCUCUGAAAGGGGGGGUGACUGGGUUAUUGCAAGUGUACCCAACAGUCACCUCCCACUUCUCUGUUGCUUCCGCACACCCUGCCUCACCCCCACACCACCUGUCCAUUUCUCAUGUAUAGUUUCACUUGCCAUCUAAAUUGCCUGGGAUAUUUGCUAGAAUGUUAGCAGGAGAAAAACAGAAUAAAUAUGUCCUUUGUAAAUAUCUUUGCAAUUUACACGUCGUGGGAGUCAGAGUUACUUCCCUAAAGCCUUGCCCUUGGGGGAUUGUGUUCAUCACCUGAUGCUGCCCAUCCCGCCGCCCUCCUAGGAAGAGCGGAGGACUCUUUGUCUGGGAAGAUAGCUUUUUUGGGGGGGCGGGAGGGGAGGAGGAAGGUGGACUCGUUGUUCAUUCAUUUGAUAAACAUGUCCGGAGCUGCUGUGCGGCCCAGCCGCACCCCAGGAGCAGCCUUUGUUGGAGGCUCGGGCAGGAAGCUCUCGGCGGGCAGGUGCCAGCGCCGGCCUCACCCUCUCAGGUGCCUCAUACUGAUUCAUCCCGAGCCACUUCCCGGGGUGGGGCUGCUUGUCUCUGGCCCACCGCAGCCUGUCCCCACUUCCCAGUGACCUGGCCUCUGAGAAGCCGCGGGGCUCUCCCUGACUCAGCCCAGCGUCGGGAGAGGCGCGUGUGCCCCCGUUCUCAGGGAGGGAAGCUGCGCACCCACCUGCCGUCUCAGCCACCUGCACCCAUGCCCGGUUUCCUCCUGCACAUUCCUAGCACGGCCUCAGCUGUGGGACCUGAGCAAAGAGACUUCUAUUAG